rnacentral:rRNA from 1 species
AUUGAACGCUGGCGGCAUGCCUUACACAUGCAAGUCGAACGGCAGCGGGGACUUCGGUCCGCCGGCGAGUGGCGAACGGGUGAGUAAUGUAUCGGAACGUACCAUUGAGUGGGGGAUAACUAGCCGAAAGGAUAGCUAAUACCGCAUAUUCUCUCCGGAGGAAAGCAGGGGACCGCAAGGCCUUGCGCUCAUUGAGCGGCCGAUAUCAGAUUAGCUAGUUGGUGAGGUAAAGGCUCACAAAGGCGACGAUCUGUAGCGGGUCUGAGAGGAUGAUCCGCCACGCGGGAACGGAGACACGGUCCAGACUCCUACGGGAGGCAGCAGUGGGGAAGUUUGGACAAUAGGGGAAACCCUUAUCCGGACAUACCGCGUGGGUGAAGAAGGCCUUCGGGUUGUAAAGCUCUUUCGGCCGGGAAAAAAUCGCAUGGGUUAAUACCCUGUGUGGAUGAUGGAACCGGAAUAAGAAGCACCGGCUAACUACGUGCCAGCAGCCGCCGUAA